AAGUCGUAACAAGGUUUCCGUAGGUGAACCUGCGGAAGGAUCAUUAAUACGUUUCUUAAAACAAACGUUUUAAACUCCAAAAAUUUGAUCGUGGAAAAUAAACUUCCGGAUGCAUUUGUAGGGAGGAUUCACAGUUUCGCGACUGUGACCCUUCUUGAAAAAGGGACUUCACAUUGUCUCUCUUUAUUGAGAGAGAUGUGACACUUCAGAGUAGAGCAGUGAAGUGAAAACUUGAGUGUUUUGGUUCUGAAAUACAUCUGUAUCCGGUUAUUCUCUGUUCUACAACUUUAAAUUAUCAAACAAUAAACCCCAUGUACAACAACUUGAACUAAACCAUUUUGUUUUCUUGAUACUCUUUGCUGAGUUGAGAGAAGAUGAAGUAAAAUCUGAACUUAAGAACAACUCUUAACAACGGAUAUCUUGGUUCUC
rnacentral:misc_RNA from 1 species